UGGAGCUGAUCGAAGCACUGCAAAUGAUGAUGGAGAUACUGCUCUUAUUGCAGCAGCAAGAGAAGGAAACUGUGAUGUUGCAGAAUUACUGCUGAAGAAAGGAGCUGAUCCUUCACAUUCAAAUGAUAUUGGAUAUACUGCUCUUAUUGAAGCAGCAGAGAGAGGACAU